GACGAACGCUGGCGGCGUGCUUAACACAUGCAAGUCGAGCGGUAAGGCCCUUUCGGGGGUACACGAGCGGCGAACGGGUGAGUAACACGUGGGUGACCUGCCCUCAGCUCUGGGAUAAGCCUGGGAAACCGGGUCUAAUACCGGAUAUGACUCCAUGACGCAUGUUGUGGGGUGGAAAGCCUUGUGCGGCUGAGGAUGGGCCCGCGGCCUAUCAGCUUGUUGGUGGGGUGAUGGCCUACCAAGGCGACGACGGGUAGCCGGCCUGAGAGGGCGACCGGCCACACUGGGACUGAGACACGGCCCAGACUCCUACGGGAGGCAGCAGUGGGGAAUUUUGGACAAUGGGGGCAACCCUGAUCCAGCCAUGCCGCGUGCGGGAAGAAGGCCU
rnacentral:rRNA from 1 species